ensembl:miRNA
GCUGUUGGCAUCUGGCACUGUGAUUCCUCCGUGAAAACGGUGGCUGGUGGGAUCUGGGCCUACAACAUCUCUUCUGCUGUCACAGUGAAGUCUGCC